UGUAUACACACACACACACACUAUAUAUAUAUAUAUAUAUAUAUAUAUAUAUAUAUAGUGUGUGUGUGUGUGUAUAUA